CUAUACAAAUUCGUAACGGACAAUUCAUAACCUCCAAAUUGAAUUUUUCUGUUUCUUGUUGUUAACGUGGAAACUAACUGUUAUUACAGUUAUAAAUGGAAUUAUGUUUAUCAAUUUAACGAAUCAGUAUCAGGAUAAACAUUUUUAAGGCAUUUCAUAUUUCGUGUUUCACAAGCCAUCCCUCUUAUCAACUAUAACCGUUGAUUGAAUGAUCAAUCACAAGAUUUAUUAUAAUAACAGGUAAUUAUAAUCUUUCCUUUACAAAAUGUUUAUUUAAAAAGUUUGGAAUGUCUAAAAACGGUUGUCAGAUUAAAGAUUUCAGGAAUUAAGUACUUCAUUGUUCCUUUGUCUGGGUACAUGCAAAUUUAAGGAACAAUAAGAGUGAUAAAAUUUUAAAAAUAAUGUUAAAAGUUUCUAUGUAUUUAAAUAUAUUUGUUUGUGUUUAAAGACUUUUAAUAUAUAUUCUGAAACACGAAAUAUAAAAUGUGUUAAACAUGUUUAUCCGUACUGAUUCGUUAAAUUGAUAAACAUAAUUUCAAUUAUAACUGUAAUAACAGUUAGUUUCCACGUUAACAAAAAUAAACAUAAUAAUUCAAUUUGGACGUUACGAAUUGUCCGUUACGAAUUUGUAUAUUUACGAACUGUCGCUGUUACGAAUUGUCCGUUACCAACUGUCCGGUUACUAACUGUCGAGUUACGAGGUGUCUGGUCACGGGAUUAAAGAUAUAGGGAGAAUAAAUAAAACUUCAUUAUGUCCAAAUAAUAAUUAUUUACCCUUAGAAAUACAUAACUGAUGAACUAUUUAGAAUAGAAAUAUUAGAGAACUACAAGAGUAGCUUUAAGUAUAAUAUACAAAUGGUCGCUGACAAUGUGACAAAGAUGUUAACAGUAGAAAACUUAUAAAAAAGUUACAAGUGUAUAAAAUUCCAAAUGCAGCCAUUCAAUAAUAUAAAAGUUGUCGGUCUUAUUUCUGGCCUUCUUUUUUAAUCAAUUUUAAGUAUCACUAAGAAACAACAUUUAAACCAUCAUUAACUAAUUCAUGAAUAUAUACGUUCAAAAUCUUAAAUUUACUAAUCAAACAAACAUUGUUAAUUUCUUAGCGAUUUUAAAUAUCUCAUUUGUUCCCCAUUUGUAGAAAAAAUGGACUUCCUUAACCAUAAAACUCAAUGUUACUUACAAUGCUAUGUGUAAAAUAUCAUCCAAAAUUAUCUACUCUACAAAAAGGCAACGUGGUAUACACUUAUAUACACAAACUAGCAAAGUUGCAAAUAAAACGACCGCGAAGAAUUGAUUCUUUUCGACAAUUAUUAUUGAUUUGCAACUUUGUUCAUAUAAAAACAAAUUACAUGUUUGGAAAACUGGUAUUUACACGGAUAAGUAGGUAUUGAGCAACAGAUGUAAGUCAAGUGUUUCCUAAAAAAUAUUGUCUGUGGAUAUUUAUACCGACAGGAUACUUUCCGAUAUCAAAUUGGUCGAAUGAUCGUAAAAAAGUGCUAGAGUGAAUAGGGGGUGAGUCGUACCUUGGAACAGUUCUGUGCUUCUGCUCCCACGCCAAUGGCGUUGGAUGUAGCACAUUCUUGUUUAAUAGAUUGUUCAAGCCCCCAUUUUGGUUUGACCAUGGAUGCUGACAUAUAAAUCAAGUAAGCUACUGCAACUACUACUUUUUUGUUAUUCAAAAUGUUUUCUCGCCCUCUUUCUUAAACAAUAUUUUUUUAUGAAACACUUAUUGUACUUUACAAACGAGUGAAAGAUUAAAAAGUCUUAAAAUUCAACAAACGUUUUAAAUAAUUUCACUUUAUAUCAAAUAAAUUUGGAUUAAUCAGUUUAGAUUUGCAGAAAAUCAAAAAUUCUUAUAAUUUUGGAAUUGUAUAGAAUACAAAAAUACCUAAAAUAUUGUUAACUGCUGCUCAAUUAUUUUAGGAAGCACCAGGCCAAGAAGGAACAGUGUAAAAAUAUAGUAUCUCAUCAUUGCAUAUUGCGAUUAAAACUCGUUGAUAGUUCUAGAUAAUAGAAAAAUAAAUUUUAAAAGUGUACAGUUUUAAAAAGACUUACAACAAAUUAUUAAAAUCUGUAUUUUGUGUAGUUAGAGCGUAUCUCGUGCAGAUCUUUUUAUGAAAUUAACCUCCAUUUGGCAGUUGACAUGUUUGAAAUUCACAUUGACUUUUGACAUCCAUAAAUUGGAAAUUUAAAAAGUCUAAUGCGCAGGCGCAAAUAAAUAUUUUUAAUUCACAAUCACAUAUUGCUGUAUUAUACAGGAUAGCAUAUUAUGCCGCGCCACUUAUUAUUUUGUUAUUUUUUUAAGUAUUCUCUUCAAAAGUUUAAUAUUGGAAGGUAAUGACUCAAACAUGUUGAUGUAAAAGAUAUUUAAUAAUUUGUUUAAAUCUGUGAAGACAAGGAAGAUUUUUUAAAGUAUGUUAAACAAGGUUUUGAUUUUUUGAUCACCGAAUGGCACACUAACAUUAAAAACAGAAAACUACUCAAUAUUGGAAUGCGUCCUUGAAUAAGAAAAUUUUGAAUAAAAAUUAUUAGUCCAGAGAUAGAAAAGAAAAAGAA